AAAACGGACAGGACGAGGUCGAGAGAUUGCAAUGCAUUGUGGGACUCGUAGUUCGCCCCGUUGGACGCCCUGACAGGUUUGUGUGCGUGUGUUUUGUUAAUAUAAAUUAUUUUCUUGUAUGUGGUUGUGCUUAAUUAUUAUUUUAAAAUUGCGUUUUGGAACCCGUUCUGGUCAAGAAGCAGGAUUAAAAAGAAAACCUUUCAUAAAUAGGAGUGGGGAAAGAGGCAGAGCCUUAUGGGAAAUGGAGUGUUUUUAACAAUCCAGCGGAGUGGCCUCAUAAGGGGCGAAUAGGAUUGUGGGGAAUGUAGUCUCUUUGGUUCACAGAGGAAGGAACAUUUAGGGCACUCACAGUCUAAAUUCAAAAUAGGAAACACGCGAAAGGUCGCACCGCUCUAGACCUUUCAUUUCUUUGUUGACCUAUCUUCUGUAUCCUUUGCAUUAGGAAUCUUUAGAAGUCUUUAGGUUUGAGAUCAGAAACGAUCAAAGGGACUCCAGCAAUGUGUGACUCUACUUUUUUUGCUAUCUCUGUGGGACCAAGAGCUAGGAGAUGAGCAUUGUGGGAAAUGGAGUCAUGGGUGUAUUGAAGGUGUCAGGAGCAGGCAGGUGUAAACUCAGAAGUGAUAGGGUAGCCACUUGCACAUCACCUGCCACCCAAAAGGACAUUGAUUUGCAUAACAUUUGCACCUACUAAUUUAUAUUUAUAGAUGCAGAUUUUAAAGUAAGUUCUACAAUUGCUAGAGAAAUAAAAUAUAUUUUAAAUAGAAAUGCAAUCAUCUAACUUUAAGCUAGAUUUGGACCAGAAAGCCCUUGAAAUAGUGGACACCAUCAGACAGAGAAAUGUCUGUAAAGCAGGGUUGCCAAAUUAGAAGCAUCCCAGCUGCAAAUAAAACAUUUUGAAUGUGUUGUAAAGUGCAAUAUACAAUUGUGACACUAGAUGGUGAAUGUGAGCUAUAGCAAAUCUGAUGCAUUUUUCAAAACGAUUUUUUUAAAAAAGCAUUUUCACAAUGUUUUUAACAUGUGUGUAGAUUCCACCCCAGACUGCGAGAUUUCAGGACCCAAACCUGAGACCUAAGGGUACCCCCUCAUGAAGUCAUGGAGUGGUAUCUGGAGAUGGAGGUUAAUUGAGAGAUGGGAACAGAGGAGAGCAGACCCCCACCUCACCCCCACCCUUGGAGUACCUGUGCUAUAAUUUUCAGCCAGCUCCUGUAGCUUUCCACCCAUAACUCAAAUGCUGGGUAUAACUUUCCAGUCGAUUGAGAUUUUUUUUCUUUUAUCGUUUCCACCAUCAUUUUAUUUUUUGCCUUCUCUAUUAGAUUGUAUGUCACAGAUGCAGAACCUGUGACCCUCCAGAUGUUGUUGGACUGCAACUCCCAUCAGCUCCAGCCAGCAUGGCCAAAGGUCAGAGGAUGAUGAGAGUAGUGCAACGGCAUUUGGAGGGCUACGGGAUCCCUGUCCUUGGUGUAUGCCAUUGUUGCAGGAGAUUGCCUUGAUGCCAUUCUGGUGCUGCUUAGAAUGGGUGCUCCUUCUUCAUCCUUACACAGAUGGCACCAGCUGGCAGAAGUAUGUGCACCAUCUAAAAGCAAGCAAGCACUGUCCUAGACGGAUAUGCAGAGCAAUCAAUUAAUUUGAUUGAAACUAGAAUUAUAGAUAUGGGAGGUACAUCUGAGAUCAUCUAAUCCAAUCCCAUGCUGAUAAUGUUAAUCAGCUGCUAUGACAUCCCUCAAUGGUAGCCACCCAGCCUCUGUUUAAACAUCUCUGACAAUGAAUCUGUUUUAGAUUUAUUUUCCUUGGGGAAUCUUUUCCACGCUUGGUUAGUCAAAGAAGCAUUGUCAGUCCAUUUUUAUUUGACCGCAGCACAUGAAAGUUUGGAAACAUAAUCCUGCUGCUUAUUUUGAUGCUUUGAGUAUAGACUUCCAUGCUGUGCAGGUAAUCUGGAAUCAAAAGGGGAAGCCAUCUGUACAAACAGUAGAUUCUGCUGUGAAAGAUUAUCUGAGUAAGGUUAUGCAGAGGUUGGGCACUGAAAACAAUAUAUGUGAUUAAUGUGCAGUAGGGACUUUCCUUCAGUGUUAUGUUUUAUUAUUUCUAAUGCAAAGACGCCAGUUGAUUAAAGAGUUUCUGUUUUUAAUAGAAGAACUGCUACCUGCAUUAAAAAAAAAAAAGUUGUGUUGCAAUUGCUUUGGAAGGCAAUCUGCUGAGGCCAUUGAUUCCUUUGAACUCAUCUGCUGAUAUCAUGUAGUCAAUUGCCAACUAAGGCUACCACACAUUUGUUGGAGGCUGUGCACGUUUUUCCAUACCUCAUCAAAGCAGCCUCUUUCAUUGGGUUGCUUACUAAGCCCCUUUGUCUCUCCUACUUUAUAUCCUUUUAGUUAAAACUUAAUUGCCACUUGCAUUCUAUUGAUCUUUCUUAAUACAGUUUGCUGCUUUGGGGAUGCUGUUGUGCUCAACAAACCUAUUCUUCACAUUAACCUAUAAUCUUUUGUCUUCACUUAAUUGCAUCCCUGCAAUAACGGGCUGGAGAAACAACUGUUCAAAGUUAGCAUUCACUACAGAGAUGUGAGUAGUCUAGAUUUACACCCACUAUAAUCAAUGCAUACCGUCCAAUAUUUCUCCAAUGAAAAUAGGGACGUCCCAUUCCAUAAUGAUAAUUUUACUAUUUAAACCCCACACAUCUUACUGGGUUGCCCCAGCCACUCUAGGCAGCUUCCAACAUAUAUAAAAACAUAAUAAAACAUUACACAUUUAAAAAAACUUCCCUAUACAGGAUUGCCUUCAGAUGGCUUGGGGUUCAGAUAACUCCAUACCCUCCAACAUUUCUCCAAUGAGAAUAGGGACAUCCUAAGGAAAAGUGGGACAUUCCAGGAUCAAAUCAGAAACUGUGACGGCUUUUCUAAAUCAGGGAUGUCCCUGGAAAAUAGGGACACUUGGAGGGUCUGUCAAUGGAGUUAUAUUUCUUGCAUGUGGAGGAGUAGCAAAAUAAUAGUCAGAACUCAAUUUGGCUACUAUCUAUUCUAGAAACAUCACCACCUUUGUCAUCUUUCUUAUAAUGUGCCUUAUCUGCUUAAGUGUGCACAGGACACAACUCAAUGUAGCCUACAAAUCCAGAUUCCUAUAUGGCUAACUCAUUCUGUGAGUGUGGACCCUUUUGUAGCCAAAACAGCCCACUCUCCUUGCACAAAAGAAAGUUAUCAGUGUGUUUGUGGGAACCCCUAGUAUAGCACAGGUUAAAAAAGAAAUUGGAGAAAAAACUUUGCAGAAGGGAUCUGAAAACAUGCUCAUUAGGCACAGAAUGCUGACUGGCAGUGGAAAUCACAGGAGAGGGGAAAUGGAAUGGAGUAUCUUGGCAGGGGGCUGGCUGGCCAGCAGACAGGCUGGCACACUGAACUGGAGCACUGCACAUUGCAGCUUUUUGUUGCAGGCCCCACUUAUAAACCAUUAACAAUCAAAUCCCCAAAGUCAUACUGAAACCCAGAGAGCUGGCACAAUCCCCAAAAGGGAAACAGGAAAAAAAUAACAUCCCUAGAAUGCUCUAGAAAUAAGGCAAAUUUUGACUUGAUGUGUGCUGAAGAAGAAAUGUGCAGAAGCCAGAUGAAUAUUUUUGAGGAGGUGUCAUACUCCAGGGGAUGCCCCCAAGGGACCAGUUACAGCAUACUGUAUAUAAUACUUCACCAAAGUACUCAUCAAUGAGGACAGGGUUGCUGGUGCAGCACAGUCCAAACCAAAAGGAUGAGCGGCAAAUAAGGUAACUCCUGGUUCAGAUCUCAUAUCCGCUGUAAGUAGGCUUAAGCAAGCUUCUCUCUCAGCCCCCCAUCUGCAAUAUAUUACAGUGGUACCUCAGGUUAAGUACUUAAUUCGUUCCAGAGGUUCGUUCUUAACCUGAAACUGUUCUUAACCUGAAGCACCACUUUAGCUAAUGGGGCCUCCUGCUGCUGCCGCACCGCAAGAGCACGAUUUCUGUUCUCACCCUGAAGCAAAGUUCUUAACCCGAGGUACUAUUUCUGGGUUAGCGGAGUCUGUAACCUGAAGUGUAUGUAACCUGAGGUACCACUGUACUUUAUAGCAGUGGUAGCCAAUGUGGUGUCCUCCAGAUGUUGUUGGGACUCCAAGGAGUCCAACAUCUGGAGGGCACAAUGUUGAUUACAGUGGUACCUUGGGUUACAUAAGCUUCAGGUUACAUAAAUUUCAGGUUACAGACUCCACUAACCUGGAAAUAGUACCUCAGGUUAAGAACUUUGCUUCAGGAUGAGAACAGAAAUAGUGCUGCGGCAGCGGGAGGCCCCCAUUAGCUAAAGUGGUGCUUCAGGUUAAGAACAGUUUCAGGUUAAGAACGGACCUCCGGAACAAAUUAAGUUCCUAACCCGAGGUACCACUUUACUCCCAUGUGUAAGGCUUAUAAGCAGAUGAGGUGUGUGCUUGGAACACCUGAAAAUGGAAUGUAGAUUGUAAGCAUCAUCAUUAUCACCAUUAUGCUGAAGGUGGGCAAAAGGAUAUACAAGAACCUUGGCUAAUACUGACAUUCACAAACCUAAAUGCUGUCCAGGUUUGCUCUGUAUUCAUCUAAGAAGGUCUCUGAGAAAAGCAGAGCAUCCGCUGAUGUAAUUUAGGAUAGUGUUGAGCUUGGGGGGGGGGGGAUCAUCGGCUGAAUGUUACCCUGUUCCUGAGCUCUUAAAACCCUGUCCCAGAUGGAAUUAACCUGGGUUGACAUGACAUUUGAGCAAUGCCGCAUUCUCUGCUUUAUCACUUCAGUUCGUUUCCUAUAUGUUGUUGCUGCUGCUGCUGCAGUAGCAGCUGUCCUCAGAUGGGCACCUGGGAGUUUGCCAUCUCCUGAUGCCCAAAGGCACCCUGAAGGAAAGACAGAGAGAGAUAAAAAGCAGCAGCAGGAUAUAUGCAUAUAUUUAUUUUGUACCGUCAAUAUCAUUUCCACCAGUGAUCAUAUGCGGGAAGUAGGGGUGGGGGCAAGGACUACUAUCCUCAAUGGCUAUGUUUUGCCUUCACUGUCAUAUGCGUCUGAAUACCAGCUGCUGGGAAUCACAAGUGGGGAGAGCGCUGUUGAUCUGUGGACCUGUUUUCAGGCUUCCUAUUGGGCUAUCUGACUGGCCACUAUGAGAACAGAACGCUGGACUAGAUGGGCUCUUGACCAUGAUCCAGCAGGGCUCUUCUUAUGUUAUUGUGACCCAACAGGAUUCAUUCUGUGUCUAGAGGACUGCUUUAAUCACUCUAAACAGAAAAUGGAUUUGCACACCACCACAAAGUGCACAUUCUUUCAAAAUGCAGUUAUCUUGAGGGUAAUCUGGCAAGCACUGCAUGUGGGAGGUGGGCAGAGAUGUUAGUGGGUUGAGUUUGCAGGAUUGCAUGGUUUACUCUGCAUCUAUCUCUCUCCCUACCUACCACACUUUUUCUUCCCCACCACCACCACAGUACAAUUUCCCCCUUCAGUGCUUCCCAUGGACUGCAAGGUUGGGGAAUCUUUGGCCCACAAGCCAAAUUGGGCCUAGCACAGAUCUGUGUUUGGCCCACAGAUCCAUUUUUCCCAAACCAUAAAAACCUGCAACCUGCAGUGUUGCAAGUCACCACCCAUCAGCUCUCUUGUUCUAAGGCAGGCUUCCUCAACCUCGGCCCUCCAGAUGUUUUUGGCCUGCAACUCCCAUGAUCCCUAGCUAGCAGGACCAGUGGUCAGGGAUGGUGGGAAUUGUAGUCUCAAAACAUCUGGAGGGUCGAGCUUGAGGAAGCCUGCUUUAAGGGAUGCUAAUUGGAAUGCUCUUAUUGCCAGAGAAAUAUUUCUAUUAAGUGUCAUGCUGCACAGUUCUAAAGCCGGACAGUUUGUUCAAUACUAACAUCUCAAAAGGGAAAUUACAUUACUGCAUUUUGUGCAAGAGAAGCAGCAUUUUGGUGAUUACUUUUAGAUCUGCUAGAUGCCACUGGCACGUAAUUUAUCUGUGCUUUGUGUAGUUGGUGCUGCGUGUCUUGUGUAGCAACUAAACUGCAGAGUCUGUAAGCUGCCGUUUAUGAUUCCCGCAUAAGAGUAAGAUCUAGCAAUUCAGAAGGUUUCUUUAAAACAAGAAUCCUGCUGUGAAACUGUGUUUUACAUAAGAACCUCUCCAGGGAGGCGCAUUGGUGCGCAAGGAGAUUGGAACUGGAGGAAAAAGUUCUGCAAGGUCAUUCCUUCCCUAGAAGCCCUGAUUCCCAACAUUGUGCCGGUGGGUUCAGUGGUGCCUUAGAAGUCAUCCCUGGGAGCCUUAAAAGACUCUAACCUCUUCCACUCCCUGCCCCCUUGGUCAUGAGGUGGUGAAUGUGGUUAUGUUUUUCUUCCUUGAAUAGUACAUAGAAUUGAAGGAGAACAUUGGAAGAGUGGUGCUCUUUCUUUCCCACUUUCAGCUCUAUGUGCUUUUCAUGACUCAGAUAAAUUCUGCUGGAUCUGACUUUUGCCCAGAUCUCUUGGGAAAGCUGAAUGGGGCUGGGGCUGUGUGUGCGUGCGCACACACGUUUUCUCUCUUAGUGUCUCAUGGCAUGGCGGCUGAUCUGAGGUAGUGGGAGAUAAAUGACCAGAGGGGGUGGCACACACAAUACUCACUUAGAUAUCCAAAUUUGCCUGUAGGGCUGAAAAGGUUGGUAACCCCCUUGACUGCUGGCUGAUUUCUCUUCCAUGCUCUGUCUCAACUUCCUACUUUGAUUCUUCAUCCAAGAGGUGAAGAUUUUGUUCAUAAGUGUAUGGAAUGAUUUUGUUCUUCCCUGUAUUUCAUGUCACAUGCAAGCUGCAGAAGAUGAGGGGCUCAGUUGAGAGACUACCAGUUUUUUGCACCUGUCCUUGAAAUUUUCCAUCCUGGCUGGUUAAAAGAAGAACCUGUAACUAAGAACUUGUCCCCAAAUUUGUCCUCCUCCCUCCAAAUCCAUUUCCCUUUUGUGCCAUGUCUUUAGAUUGUAAACCUGAGGGCAGGUUUAUUGAUCUGUAAGCCACUUUAAGAACCCUUUUUGGCCAAAGAGCAGGCUAAAAGUUGUUUAAAAAUAAGAUAUACAGUGGGCCCUGCAAGAAACAAUUCCAGUGUCUGUUCAUGCUCUUAUCCAACAGCUCAUUCCAUUCUCCUCUCCCAGAAUUCCAUGGUUUGUUCAGUCCUCAUUAAGCUGUUGUGGGGCAUCUGUUUUGUGUGCAGAAGUUCCCCAGCUCAAAUCACAACAUCUCUAGUUAGGGCUGGGAAUGUCCCUCAUCUGAAACCCUGAAGACCUGCUUCUAGUCAAUGUGGACAAUACUGAACUACAUGAACUAAUGGUCUGACUCAGAGUAAGCCAGCUUCCUCUGUCUUGGUGGUGGUUUGUUUUGGUUUUGGUUUUUGCCACUUCAGGUUUUUGCCACUUCAGGUUGUCCCAGUGCCUCUCCAUAUCCCAGUGGCCACAUUUUAGCUCCAUUUCUGUUGAUACUCACCACCUGAAGUGAUCUCCUAUUCUAUCACGAAAAAGCUGAGAAAGGUCAAGGUGUCUGAAGGUGCACAAAGCUUGUGGCAGUGGAGAUAUUUGGAAGUGGCACUUGCAAAUAUUUCAGGUUCUGAAAUAUUUGCAGGACGUGCCAUCAAACCCUGGGAAAGCAUUUUCAGAUGACACUCACCAUUUUCUUUGUUUCGUCUCGGCAACUCAAAUCAAAGGAAUCCAAAACUUCUUGGAAGCAUGAAAAUGAAUUUUUAAUACAUCAAUUAUGAUGUGGGUAGUCAAGGGUGGAAAGUAUUAAGGAGAAAGCAAGUAGAACCCAUCCAUAAGCCUAGAAGGGAGGAGGGAUGUUCCUUGAGGGCUUUCAAAUAUAAAUGAAGUUGUCGGAAUAACAUUAACGAAAAGAAUAUAAUUAGAAAUCAACAGGCACAGAGGAGAAGGGGAAACAACAAGCUGAACUCAGCCUUUUCAUGAAUCACAUAGCACUGAAAUGAAAAGCUCAGGAGUAGGAGAUGAGAUACAAGACUAAGGCCAAAAUAAUGGUGAUGUCUAGGGGGGGAAGAAACACUACUCUUGUUUUUUUUUCAAAUCCUACAAAUACUUCAAGCUUUCCGGUUGCUUUUCAGUAGGGAUGGGUGAAUCUGUCAAUUUCAGUUUCUCUAUGUCUCUCAUUUUCCCCAUCUUAUUUAUUUAUUUACGAACACAAUUUCUAUACCACUUAGUAUAUUUAAAAAAUACAUAUCUAAGCAGUAUAUAGAAAACCAAUGCAACAACCGACAAUGUAAACAACUACCAAUGUACACAGAUAUAAAACUGUUAUAUUCAUACAAAGGUAGUAAUAAAUAUAAGCCAAUAUCAUUUACAUUCAUUUACAUUCUGACGCAUCCUCCCCUCUCAGCCUCCUGGCUCUCACUCAGGACUCCACCCACCCAACUUGGCUCUCACCCAAGUAGUAAUCAAACUCUUAGCUCACUCACAAAAGUCUUGCAAAGAGGAAGGAUCCUGGAUACUGCUGGUGUCACCCUUGUCUCCCAGUCUAGGUUUGCUAGAGUGGGUGGUGGUUUCUCAGUCUGCCCACAACUGUGUCCCAUUCAGCAGUCAACUGCACUCUCUAAAUUCCCCUACAUGCGAAGACAGCCUCCAGCAGCAAUCAAACGGUCAAGAAGGCAGUUAAUGCACAUGCUGCAGAGGGAAAUGAGGGGCAGAUGGGGCUCAUCAACCUGGGAACAUCUAGAAGGAGGAAAUCUCUGAUCCUAAACUUCCACUGCCUUGCAGGACAACUUUGGGAGAAGGAAAGGCUAAGGAGUAAAGCCUCCACAAAUCUGGAGUGCAGUCCCUAAGAUGGUUGGAUGGCUCCUUGUGCGCCUCCUUCCGGCAACAUUUGCAGCUAAGCUGGUGCCAAAUGCAUUGCUCAGCUUUCCUUUGGGGGGUCCCUCUCAGCAAGGCCCAGGACCUCCAUACACAUUGCCCUGGCUUGUGCCCUGAGAGGUCACCUUGGUGCUGCUAAAUGCAGCAAAAAACAACACAGAAGGCAGCAGUUAUGAGUUAUGAGUCUCUGCAGCCACAGCAGGCACUGUAAUUCUCCAACAGUUUGACUCACCCCCAGAGGCACGCUCCAUUGUCUCUUGAGACAGAUGGAUGACAACAAGGAUGAUGCAAAUGAACGUGAACUUUUUCCCCAUCAUUAAUUUUCAAGUUAUGUUCUUGGAAACUGAAGCUGAUCUAUUUUUCUGCUAGGGCUUGUUAGCAUAACAAUGCUAAUGAACGAUGAAAUUAUACUCGAUUUAUUAUCGUCUCCUCUCUACAUCCAUGCAUUGUGAUAUCCAUGGGAAGGUUACUUACAAUGUGUCAUUAAAAGUGAUGGGAGCGAUGCAAGCUUUCAGCAUGCAUAAUAAUAUCAAGGGGGAUUUCAGAUAUAAAUGCAGACUAAUUAAAGGCAGGAAAGGUCUUUGACUGUGAAUCACAGGCCAGCAAUUCUAGGCUCAGGGAUGGGUAACCUCAUACCUGGGGGCUAAAGGUGGCCAUCCAGACUUUUCUUUGUGGCUCUCAGGACUCUCCCCAGACCUUACUAUCCCUGCGUAAGGGCUUUUACCUGGCCAGAAUGUGUCCUUGAGCUGUGAUAAUGCUUCUUGACUGCCUGGAUAGAUAAAUGUGUGUGUUUGACCAUUGACUUGUACAUGGCUGGAAGGUAGCCUACCAUACAAAGGUAAGAGUCACACCCAUUGCUCCGAAUAGUUUUUGCUUCUGGCCCCACCUGCCACUGACCUUUGGUCCCUGCAAGGUUACCUACAGAAGGAGAAGUUCAUCAUCCCUGCUGUGGCCCCUGGCAAAGAGAGAUUCCUGGUCUUAGAAAGGGAGAUGUGAUGACAGCAUCUCCUUCUCUGUUGCUGCCACAGUCUCUGUUCUCCUGGCCCUACCAGUGUCAGGGCUCUGAUGUCCAAAAUGGCAGCAUACAGGGGCAGAUUAUGGAAAAUAGAAGAUUAAGGGAUCACUGAAAGUCUGCCACACAGAAUAUGGAGCAAGCUUGUUCUCUCUUGCUCCGGAGAGGAGGAGUGGAACUAAUAAGACUGGAAAUGAUAGGGAUCCUGAUUUCAGUAAACCAUUGGGGAACUUUCCAACAGCCAGAGCUGUUUACCAGUGGAACAGGCUGCCUCUGGAAGGCUGUUCUGUCAUUCACUAGAAGCCAUCUUUAAGGGGUGCUGUAGUUGCAUCCUAGAUGGGGGAAAUUGCAGCCAUUGGGGGAAAUGGCAUGAGAUGCAAAGCCUAAACAUAUAUAGCUGGGAUAGGGGGCCUGUGGCCCUUCAGAUUCUUAUUUUUUUAAACAACUCACAUCAUUCCUGACCAUUCGCCAUGCCAUCUGGGGCUGAUGGGACUUGGAGCCUCCCAUCCCUGGUAUGAGCGCAGUGAUGAGCACAAUGACCAUUUGCUACAUUGGCAAUGAGGGAUAACAAAAUCUUCCUGGCUUUGCUCUGAUAAUUUAACACGGUAGGAGGACAUGAUAAAACCCUGGUCCCAAUUAUUCCUAAAUGAACAGGAGAAAGUUAUCAAUAAAUUCUAGUGCUGCAAUUUCAUGCUGCAGUCCCCCUUUGAUAUUUCUUUCUUUUUUAUUUUUAAACUGUUUAAUAACAUUGACUUUCAUUCAACUGACAGUCAUCAUCUAGUCUUGGAGGUGUCACAACAUCUUUUGUCAAUCUUCUUGAAGCAGGUGAAAUAUAUGGAGAAAGUGGAUAGACAGAAGGUGUCCUGCCGCUCUCAUAAUAUAGAAUCCAUGGGAUAAUCCAAAGCAUCUGAAGAGAUUCAGGACAGACUAAAGGAAGGACACCUCCACAUGGCACAUAUUUAAACUAUGGAAUUCUCUUGCACAAGGCGUAUUGAUGGCCUCUAGCUUGGAUGGCUUUAAAAGAUGAUUAGACAAAUCAACACAGGAUGAGGCUAUCAGUGACUACUAGCCACAGUGACUAGGUUCUACCUCCACUGUCAGAGGCAAUAUGUUUCUGAAUACUAGUUACUGGGAAUCACAGGUGGAGAGAGGGCUAUUGUGCUCCAACUUUAGGGCUUCCCAUAGGCAUCUGGUUGGCCACCAUGGGUGGCAUUCAACUACAUUUUACUCAGAGUAGAGCUAUUGAAACUAAUGGGCCUAACUUAGUUGUGUUAAUUAAUUUAAGUGGGCCUACUUUGAGUAAAAUCUAGUUAAAUUUCACCCUGUGGAAACAGGAGGUUGGACUAGAUGGGCCAAGGUUGUCUUAUGUAACAGGAGGAAUCAGCCUGCAAAGAUAGGACUCACAAUGCUAAACUUCCUCACAGGAGCCUGGUCUUUGACAUAUUUGUCAGCUUUGUGUAAAUGAACGUCCCACUCUGGGGUUAAGAGAUUUUAUGGUGCUGAUGGUGGUUUUGAAAAUAGCAGCUGUUUUGAAAAUUAGAUUUCUGAUAACAAAAAAGGUGCAAAUGAGUGGAUCCUACAGAUUGCAUCACACUUUUUGUUUUCUUUUUUAAACAUAGGACCUUAGUUUUUUCUUGCUCUGAAACCUGCAGGGUAAAAAAUAAUGCAACUUUGGCUUCCUGAAUGUGUCGAAGUAAUUCUGAGGCCCGAACAUGUUGUCCCCUUUCUCUCCCGACAGCAAUUAGCUCUUGUAAAAUCUCUCACAUGUGCUCAGAAUUUGUAAGGGGAUUUAAUUCUUGCGUUCCUGCUGUGAGACCUACUGCGAGUUCUUCCCUCAGCCACUCUGAAGACUCUCAAGGUCAGCCGAGCCUAGAAUUGCUGUGCUGAGGCAAAAUGUCCACUCUACUCUGUUGACAGAGGCUGCAAAAAUUGGGGAGGUUUGGAUUUCAGCAAAGAUGGGGGAGGGAGCAAACAGGCAUAAAACAUGGAGACUGGAUCAUUAGGGCAAAUGGGGCACUGCCCCUCCAACCUGAGUCUGCAUUUUGCCAGCACUCAUUUGCCUUGCCUUCUUGCUUACAGCCUGUCCAGAGGGUAGCCCUGCCUAUCAGUUUUCACCUCCUCCUCCUCAGUCUCAGUCUUGCCCUUGUAGAGCUCAGCAAGGAGGACAGCAGAGGCAAAACUAGAAUAGAGGCAGAUUUAGGGGAGCGAGACCAGUUCGCCUGCACUGGGCGCUGAAUGGAAAAGGCGCUGCAGGAGGCACCGCAACAAUGACUUAGAACAGAAGACGAGAGGUGGGGGGGCAAAUGUUGGCAUCACACAGGGUGCCGCUGAAAUUUGAAAGCCCAAAUGCCACUGCCACUGUCACCUGUCUGUCCCCUCCCACCACCUGGCGGUCAGGUGGACCAGUGUUGGAAGUUUGAAUGCAACUCUGCUUUUAGAAGAGGGGUUUGCAUGGGUUAAAACAAUAGGGUUUGGGACCUCCAGAUUCCCAGUCCAUCUCUUGCUCUUCCUUGCUUUAAACCCAUGAUUCCCAAUGUGGGGCACAUCCCCACAGGGGGGGAAUUUGAUUUUUAAGGUGGGCAAUUCGAGAACGAGUUAUUAACAAUGAAUGGCCUUUUAGGCUUCCUCCAUGUGAGUAGGAGUUCACUUUUUGAAUAAUAAGAAUUAUAUGUCAUGCGGGGUGUUUUUAAGAGAAGCUUAGGUGAGGACGUGGGUGGCACUGUGGGUUAAACCACAGAGCCUAGGACUUGCCAAUCAGAAGGUCGGCAAUUCGAAUCCCCGCAACGGGGUGAGUUCCUGUUGCUUGGUCCCUGCUCCUGCCAACCUAGCAGGGCCUAAUUAAUUUCAGUGGGCCUAUUCUUGCAUUGCAGGGGUUGGACUAGAUGACUCUUGGUCCUCCCAACUCUACAUUUCUCUAUGAUUCUAUUCUGAGCAGCUUUGUGUUCAUCUGACAUUAGGAAAAUGAUCUCACCUUUACUGAUCUCCGUAUGGAGGUACUGAUAAGUUUUUGAACCCCAGAAUUUCAGAGUAUUCUAUGAACUAUGAAUUUGUUCAAGCAUAAAUCUCCAUGGAAUCAUUACUGUUAAAGUCACAAAGCUUCAGUUUGGUCCAAAGGGGAAACUUAGAGACAGCUGAAAAAGUUUUGCUGUUAUUUCCAUUGGAUAUUCAGCCUUCAGGGAGAUUUUCUAGGUGCCAUCUGUGCCGUGCUAUGCAAAGGAUCAGGAGGCAUUGAUCAAAUGCUAUAGGAGCAUCAGGCACAAAGCUCAUUUGCUAGCAUUCUGUUCAAUGCGAUAAUUGCUUUUCAAACUUCAUUAACAGGAAAGGGCAAAUUACCAAAAAGUUCCUUACAAACUCAAGGAAAAGAAUUUUCUGGGCUUGCGGUUUAGUCUUCAGUGGCAAUCCAAAAUUGCCAAAGACAGAUUACUGCUAGGUAGUGUGUUGGGGUGGGUGUUGGAAAGAGUAAGGAGGAACUAAUGGAGCUAUCAAUUGGUGAUCCCUCAAAGCAGCCUUCCCUAACCUGGUGCCCUCGAGGCCAUUGGUUCCCAAACCUUCCCCCCACCCCUCAUCUCCCACUUGAACAUUGCUGAGGGUCUUGGUGGAGCACUUAAUGAUUUUACCACCUGUUGCAGUAGUUCUAAUUGCAUAGUAGUAAUGCAAUAAAAUGUAAAACAAGAAAUAAAAGGAGCAAAAUAAAUACAAUUAAAAAUCAAUAUGAAUUUUCAAUGUGAUGGAUGUGCCAUUGCUCAUCUUCAACAACAAAUCCACAGACACAGACCACAGAUUGGAAACCUGACCACUGGUCUCCUGUUUCCCUGGAUGGUGGAUAGAGAUUAGUGUGUGUUGAAACUAGGCUUCUGUACAAAAAUAAAAUUUGCAUUCAUUGCUUCACCACUUUUGCUUCUGGCCCCAGGGAGCUUACAUUCUCUGAUCUAAUAUUUUUCCUCUAAAUUAUCAUAAUAAUUAUUAGCAUUUGUAUGGCUAUUUCUAGUAUACAAAGCACUUCCUCUGCAUUAUCUGGUUGCAAUCCUUACAAUUUUAUAAGUGUGCUAUUACUCCCAUAUUUCAGAUGGGAGGUGGACACAACUGAGGCUGAGAUCAAGGGGCUUGUGGAAGGGAAUGCAUGGCAGAGAUGAAAUUUGAGCAGUCUCUGGUUCUUCGUGAUUCAUAACUCAGCCAAUAUGCUGCCCCAUAUCCUGCUGUUGUUUUGAGUAACAAUAAUGUGGCAGAAAUGUACCUUGGUCCCCCAUUUCCCAGCUAGGAAAUCUAAGAAAGGGGGCAGGGAGAGAGGAAAGAGUUUGCUACAAUACCAUACAAAUAAGUCACUACAUAAAUCUGUUAUAUGAUACAGACCAGUGUGAUAGCAGGGCAUAACUUUUUAAAGCUGAGAGCCUUUCCUGAUUAAUUAUUUCCUUUCCAGAGGGCAUCUCAUUGAAGUUGCAAGAAAGUCACAAUUUGGCAGGUUUAAUUAAAAGCUUCUGCUCUCCCUCUCCCCCCUCCCCUCUCUUUCCCUCUCUCCACCUCCCCAACUAGAGUAAUGAGUGGAAAUUUUAUCCUGCAAGCUUAAAGCAGACAAUGAUCAGGAUUCCUGGGCAAUGUGUAAGCCUAGAAUUCUGAAUCUGAAUCAUCCACAGUUCAAGAUCACAAGGCUGUUGGGUGGAUAUCUGGGGUGUGUGUGUUGCAAGUGAAAAGACAGGACUACAUUGGGUGAAUACAUGGAGGGCAGGUGAAAGAAGCUCCUACUAUGGUUUUGCUUUAUAUUUUAGGUAAGCAAUGGGGAAUCUUCGUCUCUCCAGAUGUCAUCAAACUCCAGCUCCUAUCAGCCCCAGCCAAUGAUCAGGGCUGAUGGUAUUUGUAGUCCAACAAUGGGCUCAUCCACAUUUCCACUUGUCCCAGGCCUAGAAUGCAUGGGUCUGAACAGUUUUGCACUUAUCCUGUGCUUUCUUGGCACAGGUCCACGUGGUUUUCUGUUUGCCCCACCGCUUUCCCCAGGAAAGUGCUGAAUUGGCUCAAACAUCCAUCUGUGGAAAAGCCAAUUGACAUUUGCUCCAAUUCAGCUGUAAAUAUUGGGUUUUCCUGGUGGAAAGUGGCAGGACAAGUGGCAGUCUGGAUGAGCCCAAUGUCUAGAGGGCACUUCAUUGGCUACCUCUAUGUCAGGAAAUGGAUUGUAGGAAACAAUGGCACAAAGCAGCCUUCUCCAAACAGAUGCCUUCCAGGUGUUACUAAACUUAUCAGCUCCAGCCAGCACAGACAAUGAUUGGAGAUGAUGGGUUGUAGUUCUGUGACAUCUGGAGGGCCACAGUUUCCCCAUCCCUGUUUCAGAUGAACACAUAUAUUCUUUCUAAGGUGCAAUGAAGUCUUUUAAAAUUGGCACUAACCUUCCCAGCAAUGUUUGUGGGAAGUAUAUACUAUAUACUAUUGAAACUUGCAGUUCUGUGUUAAUUAGAUGAUUAAACAGAUGAUAAGCUGUGGUGAUCGAUGAGUAUGUGGACUAAUCACCCCCGCUCUCCCUCUCUCCCCCUCUUUUUUUGCAGUCCUUGCAUUUGGGGUUAAUAAGUCACACCAGGAGAAAAGACCCAUACCCCACAAUGUGGAGGGUACAAUGAUGUUAUUAAGCCCUGACUGAUAAAGCUAAGAAGAUUCAACCUUAUCUCAUUAAUUAGUUGAGUGCCCUUAGCCUCAACAUUUGGCACAUGUAAGGGCCUCAAUCCUGAGAGAUGCUGAAUGCCCUUGAUUUCCAUGUUGCUUCAGAUUUCCAAGAACUGACAUUGCUCAUGUUUUCCUGGAAUUGUUCAGGAGUAGACCCACACCUGCAUUUAAACAUUAUUGAAAUGAAGAUAUGAGUAAGAAUAUAUAGCUCUGUAUAACAUAAUCUUGUUCUCCUUUGCGGAUUUUUUCUUUCUGUUGCUGGGAGUUGUGAGUUCCAUACUCUGCUGCAUAUUAAUUAAGCACCCAAGUUGCAAUUCUAAAUGCUGUUCCGUAGUGACCAAAACAACUCCAGGAGGUUCUGGGGACAAAGUGAGAAAAUAAUAUGUCAAAGUAAGAAGAAUUACAAGGUGAAGGACAUCACUUUAAAGGUAGUCUGUAGUAAACUAGCUCUUUCUUUAGAAUCUCAGUCAUUUCAAUCAUUCUGUUUCUAUGGAUCUUUCUAACAUUAUUUUGAUCAUCAAUGAAAGGCAAAAAUGAAAUUGCCAAACUCGUACUAACACUGAUCUGAGUGAUAGUCUAGUGUAGGCCAUUUCCUGAAGGUGUUUUUAUGGCAGACACGGAUCUUUACUACAAAAAUAUUCUUAUACAUCACCCACAACCCUUACCAGUAGAAAUAAAUUAUUGCACCAAGUUAUGAUGCAAUUACCCGUCUUCCUAUCCUUACAUAAACUCUUAAUCUUUUUAUUUAAAAAAAUGCUAUUCUCGUACAGUCCUUGAGAAUACAGAAUGUCACGGUCAUUUUGCUUGAAAUAAUCCUGCUUUUCAAUAACAGAAAAAGUCCUAAACUUUUCUUGCUCAUUUGCUAAUUGCAGGUGCCCACUGUAAGAAUCUGGGGUGAGUAUUUCAUCUGAUAUGAGUGAUAAAAAUAGAAUACAUGAAUCAUUCCAGUACUUUAAAUUCACAGGAGCUGCGGGUUUUUUCCCCUUCCUUGAAGAGCUCUGAAAGGAUUCGUUGGCAUUUCCGUUGCUCCUGACAGACAAAGCUGAAUGCAUUUAAUUAUAAGAAAUAAUUUGUCUUUGUGUGUGGAGGCGAAUAGCUAAUUCUGCCCCUCCCCCUUGCUACUGUUGUCAGUGUGGGCCCUCUUCAAUAAUGUUUCCUUGAAAGAAA